rnacentral:pre_miRNA from 1 species
AGAGGAAUAGCUGGGUCAAAUGGUGGUUUCAUUCCCAAUUUUCUAAGAAAUCUCCAUACUGCUUUCCAUAUUGGCUGUACCAAUUUGCAGUCCCACCAGCAGU